rnacentral:rRNA from 1 species
UACGUAGGGGGCGAGCGUUGUCCGGAUUUAUUGGGCGUAAAGAGCUCGUAGGCGGCUUGGCAAGUCGGGUGUGAAACCUCCAGGCUCAACCUGGAGACGCCACUCGAUACUGCCAUGGCUGGAGUCCGGUAGGGGACCACGGAAUUCCUGGUGUAGCGGUGAAAUGCGCAGAUAUCAGGAGGAACACCGGUGGCGAAGGCGGUGGUCUGGGCCGGCACUGACGCUGAGGAGCGAAAGCGUGGGUAGCAAACAGG